GUAGCUAAAUCAGAUGUACUUGUUGAUGCUUUAGCAGCAGGUCCAUUGGCUGCGAACUUAAAAUCUCCAAUACUUAUAACACCAAAGACGUAUGUAUCUGCAUACCAUAAAGAUAAUUUAGAAGCUAAAUCAGCUAAUAAAGUAUAUAAAAUAGGAGGAGGAUUGACUUCUAAGGUAAUGAACUCUAUAGCAUCAUCAUUAUCUAAACACAAUACAACUCCAACAGAACCAGGAAAUAGUGGGGGUAAGACAGUUAUGAUUGACCCAGGACAUGGUGGUUCGGACACUGGAACAACAGGUAAACCAUUAGGGGGUAUUAAAGAAAAAGACUAUACAUUAAAUACUUCACUUGCGACAACUGAAUAUUUACGUUCAAAGGGAUUCAAUGUAAUAAUGACAAGAGACACAGAUAAGACUUUAUCUCUUGGAAAUAGAACUGCUUUAUCUAACUCUUUGAGACCAGAUUUAUUUACGAGUAUACACUAUAAUGCAUCUGAUACAACUGGGAAUGGUGUAGAAGUAUUUUAUAAGCUUAAAGAUAAAGAUGGAGGGACUACUAAAACUGUAGCUACAAAUAUAUUAAAUAGAAUCUUAGAGAAAUUUAAUCUAAAAAAUAGAGGUGCAAAAACAAGAACACUAUCAACUGACCCUACAAAAGAUUAUUUAUAUGUUUUAAGAAAUAAUGAUAUGCCAGCUGUACUUGUAGAAUGUGCAUUUUUGGAUAAUGAGAAAGAUAUGAGUUUACUUAAUACAUCAAAUAAAGUAAAAGAAAUGGGUACACAAAUAGGUAAAGGCAUAGAAGAUUCAUUAAAAUAGUCUACAAUGAGAGCAUAGAAAAAUUUAAAAUAAAUUAAUCUGCAAUUUUAAAUUUAAACUAAAGCUAUAAGAUAAGAAUGUAAUUAUAAUAGUAAUAAAGACUGUAUAUACAUUGUGCAUAUAAGUGCGAAAUGAGGUAUAUACAGUCUUUUUAUGAUUAAUUGUAAAAGGAUUUAUAUUAUAUGAAGAAUUUACAUAUCUUAAGGCUACAGUUAAUUGUCAAGAGUUGGAGUAUUCAUUUGUAAUACACAAUAAAAGCUUAAUUACUAUAUUUUAUUGUGUGUUUGUGUGUUUGUGUGUUUUUUGUGGAUUUUUAUGUCAAUAAAUGAUAUAGUAUAGAUAAUUAAAUGUAUUAAAUAUAUUUAAUUUUUUUAUUUUUUGAGUUUUAUAAGUUUAUUUUUAUAUAUUACUUAUAUAUUANUGAAACCCUGCACUUACAAGCUGUGGAAGCACAUUUCUUGUGUGACCGCGUACUUUUUGUAGAACGGGCCAACGAGUUACGUUAAGUAGCAAGGUUAAGCACUUAAGGUGCGGAGCCGUAGCGAAAGCGAGUUUUAACUGAGCGUUCAGUUACUUGACGUAGACCCGAAACCGGGCGACCUACCCAUGAGCAGGAUGAAGCGAAAGUAAAAUUUCGUGGAGGUCCGAACCCACGAGCGUUGAAAAGCUCGGGGAUGACUUGUGGGUAGCGGUGAAAUUCCAAUCGAGCCCGGAGAUAGCUGGUUCUCCCCGAAAUAGCUUUAGGGCUAGCCUCAAGGUGAGAGAUACGGAGGUAGAGCACUGAAUGUCCUAGGGGGUAUUGCACCUACCGAAGACUAUCAAACUCCGAAUGCCGUCAUCUUAUACUUGGGAGUCAGACUGUGGGUGAUAAGAUUCAUAGUCGAAAGGGCAACAGCCCAGAUCGUCAGCUAAGGUCCCUAAAUGUAAGUUAAGUGGUAAAGGAUGUGGGAUUGCACAGACAACCAGGAUGUUGGCUUAGAAGCAGCCACUCAUUCAAAGAGUGCGUAAUAGCUCACUGGUCGAGUGAUCCUGCGCCGAAGAUUUCCGGGGCUAAAACUUACUACCGAAGCUACGGCAUCAGUAAUGAUGGGUAGGGGAGCUUCCCAUACGGGUUGAAGCAUGACCGUAAGGACAUGUGGACAGUAUGGGAGUGAGAAUGUUGGCAUGAGUAGCGAGAUGUGGGUGAGAAUCCCACAGGCCGUAAACCCAAGGUUUCCAGGGGAAGGUUCGUCCGCCCUGGGUUAGUCGGGACCUAAGCUGAGGCCGAAAGGCGUAGGUGAUGGACAACAGGUUGAUAUUCCUGUACUACCGAUAACCGUUUGAGAGAAGGGAUGACACAGUAGGAUAAGCUAAGCACACUGUUGGUUAUGUGUGCCCAAGCAUUGAGGCAGUCAAAGUAGGCAAAUCCGCUUUGAUAAUGCUGGGAUGUGAUGGGGAGCGAAAUUUAGUAGCGAAGUAGCUGAUUUCACACUGUCAAGAAAAGUCUCUAUCGAGGUUAAAGGUACCCGUACCGCAAACCGACACAGGUGGGUGAGGAGAGUAUCCUAAGGCCAGCGAGAGAACUGUUGUUAAGGAACUCGGCAAAAUGACCCCGUAACUUAGGGAUAAGGGGUGCCACCAUCAGGUGGCCGCAGAGAAUAGGCCCAAGCGACUGUUUACCAAAAACAUAGGUUUCUGCUAAGUCGCAAGACGAUGUAUAGGAGCUGACGCCUGCCCGGUGCUGGAAGGUUAAGGGGAUCUGUUAGAGCAAUCGAAGCAGUGAACUUAAGCCCCAGUAAACGGCGGCCGUAACUAUAACGGUCCUAAGGUAGCGAAAUUCCUUGUCGGGUAAGUUCCGACCCGCACGAAAGGCGUAACGAUUUGGGCACUGUCUCAACAACAGACUCGGUGAAAUUGUAAUUCCGGUGAAGAUGCCGGAUACCUGCGACAGGACGGAAAGACCCCAUGGAGCUUUACUGUAGCUUGACAUUGGGUCUUGGUACUACAUGUACAGGAUAGGUGGGAGGCUUUGAAACCAGGACGCCAGUUUUGGCGGAGCCAUCCUUGGGAUACCACCCUUGUAGUACUGGGACUCUAACCAUAGGCCAUGAAUCUGGUCUUGGGACACUGUCAGGUGGGCAGUUUGACUGGGGCGGUCGCCUCCCAAAAGGUAACGGAGGCGCUCAAAGGUUCUCUCAGUACGGUCGGAAAUCGUACGUAGAGUGUAAAGGCAAAAGAGAGCUUGAUUGCAAGACAUACAGGUCGAGCAAGGAUGAAAAUCGGACUUAGUGAUCCGGUGGUUCUGCGUGGAAGGGCCAUCGCUCAACGGAUAAAAGCUACCCUGGGGAUAACAGGCUUAUCUCCCCCAAGAGUCCACAUCGACGGGGAGGUUUGGCACCUCGAUGUCGGCUCAUCACAUCCUGGGGCUGUAGUAGGUCCCAAGGGUUGGGCUGUUCGCCCAUUAAAGUGGUACGCGAGCUGGGUUCAGAACGUCGUGAGACAGUUCGGUCCCUAUCCGUCGCAGGCGUAGGAAAUUUGAGAAGACCUGUCCUUAGUACGAGAGGACCGGGAUGGACGUACCUCUGGUGUACCAGUUGUCCUGCCAAGGGCAUGGCUGGGUAGCUAUGUACGGAAUGGAUAAGCGCUGAAAGCAUCUAAGCGCGAAGCCAACUUCAAGAUAAGAUUUCCCACCGCAAGGGUAAGACCCCAGAAAGACUAUCUGGUUGAUAGGUCGAAGGUGUAAGUGCAGCAAUGUAUUUAGCUUAUCGAUACUAAUAGGUCGAGGACUUGACCAA
rnacentral:rRNA from 1 species